CGCUGUCCACUGCAAAACACACUGGGAAACGCAUCCCCUGCAAACACCCUUCCAGCUGGAUUGGCCGCCCUGCCGCGCGCCCUUCCCCGGACACUGGCGCCUGCACCUCCUGACCUGGGCUCCAGUCAGGCUCUCCAAUUGCAGAGUCUCUGGCUUCAUUCACAGGCCCAACACCCAGGGAAACGGAGAGCUAGAGACACAGAACCCAGAGGCAGCAUCUGGUCACCUUCACCACGUGGCCCAACCACAAUGGGUCCUGUCCGCAGGCCCGCUCCAGGUCCCUUCUGUGUCCACACCUGGGAGGCAUCGGCAUACAUCAAUGAACUUUCAAGGACAUACUAGGAACAGGACAGAAUUGGGGUUGGGAGAACAGACUUGAAGGCCAAGUGGACUGGAUUGGAUCCCGGCUCUGCAUUCACUGGCUGGGCGACAUUUACGGACUUAUGGGGCUCAGGGAGCUCGAAUGAAUGCUCACUGACUGCAGGCUUUGCGUCAGCUGAGGGAUGUGCAAGUUUGCCGGAUAUACAUCGUUUGCUAUAUUUCUCUGUACAAGCAACCGAAAAAUUGGUUUUCCCCGAUCUGCUCCCUCGUUAAAUCGCUUGCACAAGCAUCUACCUCAGCAGCCACCCGUCUCUGACCCCACUCCUCCCUGAACUCAUCUCCGUGCUGGGGAUGCUGGUCUGGGGCUCUCAGCGCCCCUGAAUCUGGGGAUGGGGGCAGUGAUUUCCUCAAGAACAAGGAGAAGUGAGAAGGCUGAGCAGUGGUCCCCAAGGAGUAUGAUGCCCGGUGUGCAGACCGUCAGAUGUCGCUGCUCGGUGGGGUCAGAGUUGGAGGCAGACGGAUGAAGAUGCGCUUCUCCAGGUCUUGGAUGACAGUGGGAGUCUUUUUGCCCCACGGCGAACUGGUUACCAGGUUUCAGUAAGGGUUCAUCUUUGCAAUUACAGUUCAUUAAUAGAUUUACAAGGGAGGGAGGAUGGCGAGGUCCAUCUAAGGGGAUGGCUUUGCAUUUCUCUUGUUUCAUUACACAGUUAUCUCCUGGACCACAGAUCUUUGAAACCCAGGGGGGCCAAAGAAAAAGAGACCCAUCACCCACUUGUUCCAGAUCGGAAUGCAAUUAGGACGGGAGAAGGCACGGCUGCUCGGGGCUUCCCUCCCUCCCUGCUCUUCAGAGCUGCCUCUCAGCCGGGGGCAGGGGGGUAGCUCGGCCCCUGGAGCCUGGCUGGCAUCUGGCGUGUUGGCCUGGGGAGGGGCUGCUCUGCUCACGGGGCAGCCAUAUCUGGGGGUUCAGACCUGGGCAGCCUUGGUCCUCCACUGAGCUACCGUUUCUUGGGCACCUACUAUGUGCUGGGAGCUUUACAUGGACUGUCUAUUUAAACUUCACAGUGGUCGGUUUCACAGCCCCAUUUCACAGACAGAGGAACUAAGGCAGAUGGACGUGCGCAGGGCCCCGGGCUGGAGCAGAGAGGGCGGGCGAUGAACAUCUUACGGGUGUGAAAGGAGGCUCAGAGACACAUAGGUCUGGAACUGGACCCAAGGCUGGAACUGGAGCUGGAACUGGAAGCCAGGCCUGUUACCUCCAAUUUCCUGCUAUUUCUGCUCCCUCUUUGCUGCCAUCUGGGGGCUUUUUCUGGGCCUCUGUUUCCGCAUCUGUGAAAUGGGCCCAGAGACGGGACGCAGGUGAGCGUGAAGUGGUCUUAGGUUUUGGGUGGUGUGUUUUGAAGAG
rnacentral:lncRNA from 1 species